rnacentral:rRNA from 1 species
CAGGCCUAACACAUGCAAGUCGAGCGGGGAAGGGUAGCUUGCUACAUUUCCUAGCGGCGGACGGGUGAGUAAUGCUUAGGAAUCUGCCUAUUAGUGGGGGACAACAUUCCGAAAGGAAUGCUAAUACCGCAUACGCCCUACGGGGGAAAGCAGGGGAUCUUCGGACCUUGCGCUAAUAGAUGAGCCUAAGUCAGAUUAGCUAGUUGGUGGGGUAAAGGCCUACCAAGGCGACGAUCUGUAGCGGGUCUGAGAGGAUGAUCAGCCACACUGGGACUGAGACACGGCCCAGACUCCUACGGGAGGCAGCAGUGGGGAAUAUUGGACAAUGGGCGAAAGCCUGAUCCAGCCAUGCCGCGUGAGUGAUGAAGGCCUUAGGGUUGUAAAGCUCUUUCGACGGGGACGAUAAUGACGGUACCCGUAGAAGAAGCCCCGGCUAACUUCGUGCCAGCAGCCGCGGUAAU